CCUACGGAAUGACCAAGCUCUCGCGCACUUUCUUUUCAGCGCAGUGUGUGUAUACAUUCGCUCAGCUGUUCUGGUCAGAAGUGAUCGCGGCUCAUCUGAUUGCACAAAUUUUCGAAGCUCCGGGGUUUAUUUUUAGUACGAGUGCCAUGUCGUUUUUGUACAAUCCUCGUGAAUUUUUGCUGCGUAAGAGCAUGUUACACGGUUUCUAAUUCGAUCGAUACAUCAAAGUUCCUUGCUGAUUGACAGACUCGCUCCACUCGUCACUCACCUCGGUUAUAUUUGGGAAUUUGACAUUAAUCCGUGAUCGAUGCGUCCCGCAAAUUGAUAUUAAAUUACGACUGUAACAAUCAAGGCUGAACCAUGAAGAAGACACGCUCGAAUCUGUUCCGUGACAUUUAUUAUCUGCCGUACAAUGAGUGCUCCAAGAUGAAGCUUUAUUCCAGCAGUAAAGCGAGUCUUCAGAUGAUACAGCGUAUGGCUUUAUUGAAGAAAUUGAAAGUGCAUAACGGUUGUGUAAACUCUCUCUCUUGGAAUAAUACUGGUGAAUUGAUACUGUCUGGUAGCGAUGAUCUACACCUUGUACUUACCAAUGCUUAUGAUUACAAGGUGAUGACAGAUUAUAAAACCAGUCACAAAUCAAAUAUAUUUAGCGCAAAGUUUCUGCCUAACAGUGGAGAUCAUCGGAUAGUUUCGUGUAGCGGCGACGGCACUAUUUUGUAUACAGAUUUAAUGAGGAAAACAGAAACGUUUCAUAAUCAAUUCAAUUGUCAUAGUGGCACUACUUAUGAGGUAGCAACACUUCCUGGUGAAUCACACACCUUUCUAAGCUGUGGGGAGGAUGCAACUGUAAGAUUAUUUGAUCUUAGAAUAAAGGAGAAAUGCAAUGCCUUGAACUGUAGGAAGGAUGUACUAAUUUCUUGUAAAAGAGCUAUAACUGCCUUGUCGGUAAAUCUCGCUUCGCCCUACCAACUAGCGAUUGGCUGUUCCGAUAGUACAGUAAGAAUAUUUGACCGAAGAAUGCUCGGAACUCCAGCUGAUGGGUGGCCAGAUAGGAGUAGAGAGUACCUUGCCUUAUGCAGAUUCACAGUUCCCGAAUUUGAAGGGAACUCUCAUAGAAUGACAUCGUUAAACUACAGUCCCGAUGGGCAAGACGUUCUUGUUAGUUACAGCAGCGAUCAUCUUUAUCUGUUCAACGUAAAGGACCAGGGUACCGUGCAAUUGAAGAAAGACGUCGCGGCAGGAAAAGGUGAAGGAAGGAAACUGAGGUUACGAUCGCCUCUACCUGUACGUAGAUUGAGACUUAGGGGCGAUUGGUCCGAUACUGGUCCAGACGCUCGACCUGAACGCGAAGGUGGUCGACGUAACGGUAUAGAAAUUGCACAAGCUAGACCAGUGCUUCACACUUCGUUAAUGCAGAGAAUGACGGACGUUCUUAGUAGAAUGUUAAACGAUCCUGCCACCAGAGCUGCGUUGUGUGGUGGCGGCGAAGAUAGUUUAGAAGGCGUGAUCGAUCACCAAGAUAAUACUCAAAAUAGCAAUGAAAACACUGCGGAAGCUAGCGAGGAAAGACGUAGCGAAUCUGAAGGAGCAGAGAGAGUUCCAACCCAAAGCAACCAAGAAACAGUUGUUGCAGAACGACAAGCAGAGGGAUUCGAAGGUGCAUGUUCGAGCGGUACGCAAAGCGAACCCGAAGCAACUCGUUCCGCGAUAGCGAAGAACCAGUUACCAUCAGAGCAAACGACUGACGAAAACCCGGUUGACCCCAAAUUGAAUGUUCCUAUGAAAACUGAAUCUAGUCAAACAAAAAUACAAAAGUGUUCCGUGCAACCUUGUUCUUCGCGUACUCCGGAUAGGUGCAACGAUAAUCUAGAAGAAGAGCAAAGCAGUAGCGUAGACUCCCCGUGCGCGAGUGUGGAGAAUAAACAGAAAGGACACAUGAUGGAGAACUUAAAAGAUAGACUGGCAAAGAUGAAGGAAGGCGUCAUCAUGAGAAACGGCAGCGAACCGGGCGUGAGCUUCAUUUACACGGAUAAAAGUUCGACCAGCGCAACUAUAUGCUGUCCUACAGGUUCAUCCGAUAGUCGCAGUAACGCAACGUUCUCGGGCAAAAGUCAUGACAAACACUUACGAUAUAGUGAUACACAAGAAAAGACUGAUGAAAGCGCUUUUACCGAUAGUGACGACGACGAUAUAGACCUUAGAGAAAGGUAUUCUAGAUUCAGAAGUCGAGUUGUAGAAAAACUGGACGAAGCUAUCGAUCAUGACGAAUCGUCUCAAGGGUCCACAAGCUCCGAUAAGGCAUACGUAACGAAACUUCGCGUGAAGCAAAAGUACAUGGGACAUCGCAACGCUAGUUUCUUUAGGACCAUGAUCAAAGAAGCGAACUUCUGGGGCAACGAUUUCGUCAUGUCGGGUAGCGACUGCGGCCACGUGUUCAUCUGGGAUAAAGACACGGCAAAACUGUGCAUGUUACUCGAGGCUGAUCAACACGUGGUCAACUGUCUACAACCCCAUCCGUAUUUGCCUUUGCUGGCUACCGCAGGCAUCGAUUACGAUGUCAAGCUCUGGGCACCCAUAAACGACGAGUCCACCUUUGACGAGAACUUUGCCGAAGAUUUGAAAAAGAGGAACGCGAUCAUGUUGGAAGAGACCAGAGACACAAUGACCGUACCUGCUACUUUUAUGAUCAGAAUGCUGGCAUGUCUCAAUCAGAUACGCAGAGGUAGUGAAAAUUUAUAAUAAUACUCCCCAAGACUUCCUGGUAGUUCACUACACUAGUAUGACCGAAGAUACGUAGUUAAGAAAAUAAUAUACAGGAGAGUUUGGCAGCUUUUCCUGUUACGUGCAGGUCGCGGUCGGAACAGGGGGAGAAGCGGACACGAGCCCACCGAAUUACGAGGUUGCUAAGCGAUUUUCGACGAAAUUUUUGGGAGGUCGGUCCCGACGACACAGCAUAUCACAAUGUCGACAGUCCCAACCGACUAAUCAGGUUGAAAAAAAGAAAAAAAAGAAACACCACGUAUUAUUUGAUUUAUCGUUGCAAGCGUAAUUUUCAAUUAAUUGUAAGAAUAUUCAAUCAUGAUAAGCUUCCGUAUCUCCAGUUAUAUCGCUCUCGGAGAGAGAUAAGUCGUUUCUUUAUUAUAUUUUUCUUCGCAAAUUCUAUUCAAGGCCCGAUCUUCUCGAUAUGUACACGAAACUCCGUUACCACCAACGAAUGUUUAUCGCGAUACAAACACUAUCUUGCCUUACGGAGCUGAUCGAAUUACCUGUCGUGUUUGUGUACGCCAAUAUUUUUCUUAUUCUCUUUUAUUUUGUGUGUGUACGCGUGUGCGUGUGACUCGAGCGAGAUACUCAAUGCGUCGCUCUAACUUUUAUUUUCUUCUUUGAAAUAGAUCACCUGGCUGAUUCGAAACAUAUAGCGAUUACGUGGCGAAUUUCACACGAAAUAAUGUUAUUGUAACGAUAGACACAAGUAAUGGAGUAGAUAACAGAUAAGAGUGGGUUUAACGACCGACGCAUUGUUCCGGGAGGCGAGGUGUACAGGUGUUCCGAGGCUGUACUUUAAAAAAGAAAAGAAAAGAAAAAAAAACACGAAGUCGCUAGUGCAUUAUACUUGUAAUUUUCUACGUUCUCUUAAUUCGCGAGCAGUAGAACGAGGAACGGUAACGAGCGACUCGUCGUGACCCGAAUGUAAACGUUUCUAUUGUUUCGGUUGGUUCCGCUUUGUUAAUGUUAGCGCGUGUGACGUUGCACGGCUAGAUAAGCGAAUGGCGGCGUGCCACUCGAAAGGCUUUAACUAUUUUAACUCUUUGCGCUCGGAUUACGCGUCGGGGCCGAUAUGGAUUUGGGAGAGGAAUUCUUGACACUUACAACUUGUAAGUACAGGGCGGUUGGAGAGUAAUUGAACAUUUUUAAAAAUGUAUUUUAGUGGCUAAGAAUAUUUUUGAACGUAGUAGACUAAUCAAAUCUCCGUUACCAAUCGGAUUAGAGUACGUUUUUAUACGAAAUAAUCGAAUUAAUUGCGCAUUUUAAACACAAUAUACAACCUUAGGGAGACAUCUAUUUUUUUUUUUUUAUUGAUCUCGUGCAAAAAUAAAUUUCUCUUCGGGUAUAUGUAUUGGAAAUAGUUAUAAAUAUCGUGUAAUGAUCGAGACUCGUUGGGUAUUGGUAGCACAAGUAUCGUAAGUAUGUAAAUAAUGUACAAAUUGAUGAUGGUUGUUAAUUUGUCGGGAUGUGGAUACAAGAAGCAAUCUUGUUAAAUAGAAGGAAUGUAAUUCCAAAUAAAUUUGAAAAAUAUAAAUGUAAGAUAUAGAAAUGAAAAAGAUAUGGCUCCGCGUGGAGCAACGCACACAUGCCUGAAUCUCGUGUGAAUUUGUUUUUAUUUAAAAAGGUCAAUAAGUAAUGGCUACCAUCCCUUAGGGUUGGAUAUUUUGCUAUAAAACUCAAUUGUUGAAUAAAAUAUACUUUUCGAAAUAUUUAAUUAUUUUCUCGAUCGCUCUGUGAUAAGUGUGCUGUGCCUUAGAUUGCUACUCACUAACAUUCGUACAUAAAACAGCGCUCCUGCAUCCGUUACUUUAAGUUCUUCAUUGUAUUUAUAAAACUAUAUGCAACCUAACUACAAAAUGUUAUUAGCAUUGAAUGAAAAGUACCACCUCGACUUCAAGACAUCUUCAUAGAGGAUAUUCCUCUCUACAUGUAGAAAGAGUAAAUAUACAAUUUACGUCCCUAUUACGUGAACGUGUUAAAGAAGUACAUAUAUUUUUUAUAUGUAGGAAGGGUAAUUAGGAACAUAACGUAACGUGAAAAAUUAAUCUACUACUUCGAUAAUUUAUCAACAUGUAAAGCAACUGUGUAGAGCAUCUGUAAUGUUUGAAUAUUAAGUGGGGUUAGUGUAUAUGAUUUUAUAUGAUGUAUAAUAUAUACAUAUGUUCCACAGAGGCUACAAGUUCGCAGGUGACAAUCCUUUAACGCACUCGAGACUGCUACAUUAUUACGAAACUAUUUUCAGUAGUCAUCAAUAAUUUUUAGUUGCUGCCUCAUCCUUUAAACAUGCGAUGUGCUACACGAUUCGUCAGUCUCGAAUGUGUUAAAAGUUCCGAACGCAAAGGGUCGAAUUAACAUUUAUUAACAAUAGACUUAGGAUUUCGUUUGGUCGCAAUGUAGACACGCUUGCAAGAAACGACAAUGUUAAAUUAACAAACGAAAAGGAAGUUGCAGUUUAAAAGGGAAUUAAGAGAUAAUGAUCAUACUGUCUGUCAGUCGUUUCGAAACUAGAAUACAAUUUGGAGAGAUUUAAUUAUACCCUCUCGAGGGUUCUAGUAAUUUCAGAUAAAAAAAACUGGGAUCGAGGGUGAUGAUCGCCGGAAUUGCAUAACGGAGACGUGUGUAUUUCCUUGUUUUAUUUCUCUGAACAUUAGGACAAAAUUGUAAUCAAUCGCUUAUCCGUUUACCGUAAAUCCAAUAAUGUCUGUAAUAAUGAAUUAGCGUUAUAUUAAAUGUACCGAUGAGAGAUUUAAUAAUCACACUUUCCUCCU